rnacentral:rRNA from 1 species
CCUACGGGAGGCUGCAGUGGGGAAUAUUGGACAAUGGGCGAAAGCCUGAUCCAGCCAUGCCGCGUGUGUGAAGAAGGCCUUCGGGUUGUAAAGCACUUUCAGUGGGGAAGAAAGCCUUGGGGCUAAUACCCUCGAGGAAGGACAUCACCCACAGAAGAAGCACCGGCUAACUCCGUGCCAGCAGCCGCGGUAAUACGGAGGGUGCGAGCGUUAAUCGGAAUUACUGGGCGUAAAGCGCGCGUAGGCGGUCUGAUAAGCCGGUUGUGAAAGCCCCGGGCUCAACCUGGGAACGGCAUCCGGAACUGUCAGGCUAGAGUGCAGGAGAGGAAGGUAGAAUUCCCGGUGUAGCGGUGACAUGCGUAGAGAUCGGGAGGAAUACCAGUGGCGAAGGCGGCCUUCUGGACUGACACUGACGCUGAGGUGCGAAAGCGUGGGUAGCAAACAGGAUUAGAUACCCCAGUAGUC